AGCGAACGCUGGCGGCAUGCUUAACACAUGCAAGUCGCACGGUCGGGUUUCGGCCCGGCAGUGGCGGACGGGUGAGUAACGCGUAGGUAUCUAUCCUUGGAUGGGGGACGAACCGUGGGAAACGUAACGGCUAAUACCGCAUGACGACCGAGGUCCAAAGGCCGCGAGGCCGUCUGGGGAGGAGCCUGCGUCCGAUUAGCUAGUUGGUGGGGUAACGGCCUACCAAGGCGGUGAUCGGUAGCUGGUC
rnacentral:rRNA from 1 species